rnacentral:rRNA from 1 species
GACAGAGGGUGCAAACGUUGUUCGGAAUUACUGGGCGUAAAGCGCGUGUAGGCGGCAGGGCAUGUCGGAUGUGAAAUCCCAUGGCUCAACCAUGGAAGUGCACCCGAAACUGCCCAGCUAGAGUCUCGGAGAGGAAGGCGGAAUGCUUGGUGUAGAGGUGAAAUUCGUAGAUAUCAAGCAGAACACCGGUGGCGAAGGCGGCCUUCUGGACGAUGACUGACGCUGAGACGCGAAAGCGUGGGGAGCAAACAGG